rnacentral:rRNA from 1 species
GACGAACGCUGGCGGCGUGCUUAACACAUUCAAGUCGAACGGUAAGGCCCUUCGGGGUACACGAGUGGCGAACGGGUGAGUAACACGUGGGUGAUCUGCCCUGCACUUCGGGAUAAGCCUGGGAAACUGGGUCCAAUACCGGAUAGGACUCCUGCCGGCAUGGGUGGGGGUGGAAAGCUUUCGCGGUGUGGGAUGGGCCCGCGGCCUAUCAGCUUGUUGGUGGAGGGAUGGCCUACCACGGCGACGACGGGUAGCCGGCCUGAGAGGGUGACCGGCCACACUGGGACUGAGGUACGGCCCAGACUCCUACGGGAGGCAGCAGUGGGGAAUAUUGCACAAUGGGCGCAAGCCUGAUGCAGCGACGCCGCGUGAGGGAUGACGGCCUUCGGGUUGUAAACCUCUUUCAGCACAGACGAAGCGCAAGUGACGGUAUGUGCAGAAGAAGGACCGGCCAACUACGUGCCAGCCGCCGCAGUAA